rnacentral:tRNA from 1 species
GAGGCAUAGCUCAGCUGGUUAGAGCGUUCGCUUCACAUGCGAGAGGUCGGGGGUUCGAUCCCCUCUGCCUCC